AUCGCUUCUUGGCCUUUUGGCUAAGAUCAGGUGUAGUAUCUGUUCUUAUCAGUUUACUAUCUGAUACGUCCUCUCUUCGAGGACAUUGUAUUAAGUGUAUUUUUGGAACAGGGAGAUGGAAUAGGAGCUUGCUUUGUCCAUUCCACGCAUCGACUGUAUUGCAGUACCUCCGGGAACAGUGGAUCAAGG